GAUGAACGCUGGCGGCGUGCCUAAUACAUGCAAGUCGAGCGAACAGACGAGGAGCUUGCUCCUCUGACGUUAGCGGCGGACGGGUGAGUAACACGUGGAUAACCUACCUAUAAGACUGGGAUAACUUCGGGGAACCGGAGCUAAUACCGGAUAAUAUAUUGAACCGCAUGGUUCAAUAGUUAAAUACGGUUUUGCUGUCACUUAUAGAUUGAUCCGCGCCGCAUUAGCUAGUUGGUAAGGUAACGGCUUACCAAGGCAACGAUGCGUAGCCGACCUGAGAGGGGGAUCGGCCACACUGGAACUGAGACACGGUCCAGACUACUACGGGAGGCAGCAGUAGGGAAUCUUACGCAAUGGGCGAAAGCCUGACGGAGCAACGCCGCGUGAGUGAUGAAGGUCUUCGGAUCGUAAAACUCUGUUAUGAGGGAAGAACAAAUGUGUAAGUAACUAUGCACGUCUUGACGGUACCUAAUCAGAAAGCCACGGCUAACUACGUG
rnacentral:rRNA from 1 species